rnacentral:rRNA from 1 species
AACGAACGCUGGCGGCAGGCCUAACACAUGCAAGUCGAACGGACCCUUCGGGGUCAGUGGCGCACGGGUGAGUAACGCGUGGGAACGUGCCCUUCAGUACGGAAUAACGUCGGGAAACUGACGCUAAUACCGUAUAAUAUCUCCGGAUCAAAGAUUUAUCGCUGAAGGAUCGGCCCGCGUCUGAUUAGCUAGUUGGUGAGGUAAUGGCUCACCAAGGCUACGAUCAGUAGCUGGUCUGAGAGGAUGAUCAGCCACACUGGGACUGAGACACGGCCCAGACUCCUACGGGAGGCAGCAGUGAGGAAUAUUGGACAAUGGGCGAAAGCCUGAUCCAGCCAUGCCGCGUGUGUGAUGAAGGCCUUAGGGUUGUAAAGCACUUUCGACGGGGAUGAUAAUGACCGUA